AGUGAACGCUGGCGGCGUGCCUAAUACAUGCAAGUCGAACGGAGUGGCGCACGGGUGUGUAUUAUAUAUCUAAUCCGCCCCUUGGUGGGGGACAACAGUUAGAAAUGACUGCUAAUAACCCCUAGCGCGGGAUGAGACUAUAUCGUAUCAGCUAGUCGGUGGGGUAACGGCCUACCGAGGCUAUGACGCGUAACUGGUCUGAGAGGAUGAUCCGUCACAUUCGAAGUGAGGCACGAUCGAAACUCCUAGGAGAGUGAGCAGUAGGGUAUAUUAGGCAAUGGGGGUAUCUCAGACGCGGCAACGCCGCGUGGAGGAUGACACGUUGCGGGGAGGAAACUCUUUUUGUUAGGCAAACGGUACCUAACGAAGAAGCACCGGCUAACUCCGUGCCAGCAGCCGCGGUAAUUC
rnacentral:rRNA from 1 species